UCAAACCUGGCCUGACAGCUGAAGGAGUUUCCAGUGAGCAAACAGUAGGUUGCUUUCCUACAAUGCCUUUCUAUUAUAUCAAAUAUACAAGAAUGUUCUUAAUGCUUUAAAUGUGCAGAAAUGAAAAGCAAACAGAAGACACACUCUUGGUCUGCAUCGCUCUGUGCCUUCGUGAAAAAUAAGGCAUUGACUUUCCAGUUUGCAGAAUGGAUUACAACAUCCAUAAAUGGUUUUUAAUGCCUAAUCUUAUGUUCUUAUCCCAGGGCCACUGUCAACAAGAGUCUUGGCAUCAUGAAGUGCUCGCAAGUACAUCACUGAAUCUAAAAUUUGAAAAAGGAAGGAAGGAAGGAAGGAAGGAAGGUUGGUUCAGAUCUCAGAUAGUAGCUGACAUUUAACUGUUCCAUGUACAAGUACCUACAUAAUUUCCCACAUCACAUACUGGGUUGAAUCCAAUAGUUUCAUCCCACUGCUGGAGUGUUGAAUAGGGAGUAUGGUAGUUCCUUUCCCCGAAAAGAUGUUCAGAUAUCACAGAUACACAUGGGAACAUAGGAGAGAGGGAGAAAAAUCUUACCACACUGGAGGACUAUCGAAGACCAAGCUUUACAUCUUCUCUG
rnacentral:lncRNA from 1 species